GAGGGUAAAUAAGUCAUUUUAAAAGUUAACCAAUUUUUAACCCUUUAAUAACUAUGGUAAAGCUAACGUAACUAACAGUAAGGAUUGAUGAUAAUUUUCUGUAUUUACAGAGGUAUAGGUGAUAUUUUAAAUUUUAUAGGGGCAUCUAUGAUAUUUUAGACUUUGAGAGGGGUAUAGGUGAUAUUUUAAAUUUUAUAGGAGCAUCUAUGAUAUUUUAGACUUUGAGAGGGGUAUCCAUGAAAUUGCCCCAAAAAAGUAGGACCCAAAUCACAUGGGCACUCAUGGAGUAUGUUAUAUAACUAGUGAAGUUACCCACGCAUUGCGGCGGAAUGAUCCUAUAGAAUAUAAAAUAUAAAUAAAAUAAAAAUUUUAAAUUUUUUAAUUUGAUAUGGGACUUAAAUAAACACAAAUAUAAAAUAUAAAAUAGAUAUAGGUAUAGAUAUAACAAAAUUUAUAAUUUUGGUAAAUAAAUCACACGUAAUAAUAAUAAAAUAAGCAAUAAAAUUUUUUUUACCCCACACACAUCUUCAUUGCACUAUCGACAUCGGAGAGGCAAAUUCCGAUCUUUAUAUCGCCUUCGCCGCUAGUGUCGAGCUCCUCUUUAGUCACGACCAUAUCAAUCCCGUAUCCACAUCCUCUGCUUCUUCUCUCUCAUUGACUCCAAAUCCAUCACCGUUUUCUUCUACAGCGCUCCGUCGCGAUCCUCGAAACCCUAAUUUCAAUCCACACACAACAAAAAAUUUAAAAAAGUUGUAAAACAUGAGCCCUUUUUGUGCGCUAAGAAAAAAAGAAAAAAAACAAUAUGAAAAAAAAGAUAUGAAGAAAUGAAAAUGAAAUCACAUAAACAUAUUAAUUGAGAGAUAAGGGGGGGAGAAAAAAAAACAAUAUGAAAAAAAAAUGGAGAAAUGGAAAUGAAACCAUGUAAACAUAUUAAUUGAGAGAUAGGGGGGUUAGGAAGAUGAAGCAUUGGGUGGGGGGUUAGAAAGAUGAAGCAUUGGAUGGAGAUGAUAUUAUGUAAACACAUUAAUUGAGAGGUGGGAGUUUAGGAAGAUGAAACAUUGGAUGAAAAAGUUAGAUGAGAGAAGAGAAAAAGUGAAAGAGAAUUCGCCAUAUGGCAACAAAUUAGGAGAAAUAAUGUAUAGGUAUAGAUAAUUGUAACUCACUACACCUGAUAUAAAGGAGCAAGAAUAUCUCACCACACAAAAAAAAGAU
rnacentral:lncRNA from 1 species